AUUGAACGCUGGCGGCAGGCUUAACACAUGCAAGUCGAGCGGAGGUGAGGUGCUUGCACCUUAUCUUAGCGGCGGACGGGUGAGUAAUGCUUAGGAAUCUGCCUAUUAGUGGGGGACAACAUUCCGAAAGGACUGCUAAUACCGCAUACGUACUACGGGAGAAAGCAGGGGAUCUUCGGACCUUGCGCUAAUAGAUGAGCCUAAGUCGGAUUAGCUAGUUCGUGGGGUAAAGGCCUACCAAGGCGACGAUCUGUAGCGGGUCUGAGAGGAUGAUCCGCCACACUGGGACUGAGACACGGCCCAGACUCCUACGGGAGGCAGCAGUAGGGAAUAUUGGACAAUGGGGGGAACCCUGAUCCAGCCAUGCCGCGUGUGUGAAGAAGGCCUUAUGGUUGUAAAGCACUUUAAGCGAGGAGGAGGCUACUGAGACUAAUACUCUUGGAUAGUGGACGUUACUCGCAGAAUAAGCACCGGCUAACUCUGUGCCAGCAGCCGCGGUAAUAC
rnacentral:rRNA from 1 species